GGUUGGGGAAAGGUCCUUCACUCACCGGCCGCGGGAAACAGAGCGCCGCGGCUAGGAGCUGGCAGAGUGGAGCAGGCUGGGGCCGAGCUCCUCCACUUCCGCCGCUGCCGACAAUGAUGCCACGACAGUGAACAUAAGAGUGGCCAUACUGGGUCAGACCAGAGGUCCAUCCAGUCCAGUGUCCUGUCUACAGACAGUGGCCAAUGCCAGGUGCCCCAGAGGGAGUGAACCUAACAGGUACAGAUGGGGUGACCAGAACUGCAUGUAGUAUUCAAGCACAGAUGAACUGCAAAGUUUGGAUCUUCAUCCAGGCUCCAGUCUUGUAAGCACCUAUGCCAAGCCUUAUCCACUUCAGUGGGACUCCAGGCAGCCUGCACAGUCACAAAGAUCCAGCUGCACAAUCCAGUUGUAGGCCCAGAGUGGAACUUCCACAAUGUUUUGAGUUUGGAUCUUGGCUUUGGUUCUAUCCAAAAGGCUAGAAAAUUUAAAAUGUGAUUUAAUUUUGUUUUCCUAAAUAAGAUUCAAAAUAAUUAUCCCAUAAGCACUAUUUAUUUAGCCUAAACAUUAAAUUGCUCAUCUGAAACAACUAACCAGAUUCUCAUAAUGACUUUGAAGUCUGUUUGGGAGAAUAAAUACUGUAAUUAGAUAUUAAAAGUCCUGUUGCUUAAUAUAAUAACUACAUUAGUUGUAAACAGUGAAGCGAGGCUAAGCUUUUUAUUUAUGUAUUUAUUUUUAAAGUAGUGACACCAUGUUUACUUCCUGUCCAGGACAUCACAUUUGCUGAAGCUGCUCUGUGACUUUCUCUUGUAUCUUUAAAUAUACACCACUGUGUAGUUCAUAAAGAACAGGUGUUUGAUUAUACUGGGGGUAGGGGAGGUUCGAAAAAUAUUUAACAAACCACAGGAAAUGUAAUUCUCCUAGAGUGAGUUGUGAUAUUUUCUGCUAAUUUUUACAAUAUUGUUGGCAUGGGAAUUAUUCAUGCAGCAGGAGCUAUAAUUGUCUCUUUUUAAUAUAUGUGUAUAUGAACCAUUGUACACACCAUUUCUCAAUAGCAAAUUCCAGUAUAAAAUGAGAGAUGGGUCUCAAUAAAAAGCUUGGAUAUAAGCACACACACACACACCCAAAUUUGGGGAAGUAAUGAUUUAAGAAUCUGAACUGCGCAGCUUGGCCCCAUCUCUAUAAUUUCCCAAACUAAAGCCUUGAAGUUUUGGGCAUUGCUAAUUCAGAACUGGAUCCUUUUUUUUUCCCCCCGUAGCCUGAGCUUAUCUGAAUUUCUGGUACAUCUUUUGACCUUGGUCAGGACAAACCCACAGCAUCUCUUUUGGAAAGCUAGUACAGCAUAGCCCAGAAGGGUCAUUUCAUGAUGGGCUGGGAGUAGGCAUCCUCCAUGCAUCAGGCUGUGUUGGGGGAAGCAUGCUACAAUAUACCCUUACAGAGCGUAGCAGAGACCACCAGUGAGUGCCCUUCCUCACAGUGCCUGGGAAUAUUAUGCCUCCCUCCACUGUGAGUCACUCAGUGCAGCCAUUCACAGUGUGGUUCAGGAAGCCUUAGGUUUACUCAAUAAGCCCGAUUCACACUGUUGGUAGGAACCCUGUCUGCAGUCCAGCUACAAUGAGGCAAGUCACAUGCAGUCCCCACUCUAUCAGCAGAUCUCGAGCUGGCCAGCAUGACACACACAGUGAGUGGGCUAGCAAACCCUUGAGACAUCUUUUCAAGGCACUUCCAUGCCAGUCCCCAUCCCUGGGACUCCUACAGGGCCCUGCACACAGUAUAAAACUCCUGUCCUGUUGGGGUGUGUGUCCUUGCUGGUCAAGCUCCCCUGGCAGGGGAGGAGAUGCAAAUUCCUAAUUACACUUUUCCUCUGUACAUGGGGAGUGAAACAAAUCUUUACACUUAGUUUGUCUUUCCUUCUCUACUAGUCCAGGUUACUGUUAUUCAGAGCAGAGGAUACUUUUCUUUAAGUCUGAAUCCCAUAAUUGAUUGACAGUGGCACGCAAAACUGUAUGAUCGAUAGAAUGGAAUUUUUCAGCCUCGUGAAAGAAUAAAAAUCAUUCAGGUCUUGCCCCAUUUGUACCACAAGUUAUGGAACAAACUCAUUGUUCUUCAAUAUCUUGACUACAGUUAAUGCAGCUCCUAUAUUUGCCUGUUUUUUGUUUGUUUCUGUAAAAGCCAAAUUCCUUCAGAAGGUGGGAACAUGUGCAGUAGUUGCUGGUAACAAGAACUGAGUCAGAGGGUGACAAGUGAUCGAAGACAGCCUAGCAGCUAUGCUUAUAAGGAUCGUAUGUCUUGGAGACCAUUUUAAGGCUAUUGAUAGUGGGUGAUGAAUGUGCCUUAAAAUGGCAUUUUUUAGUGUAAUCAUUGAUCUUCAAGGAGCCCUACCAGUGUGCCCUCAAGUGUGUCAUGGAGAGCUCAAUACAUCAUAAUCAAUGGCUACUCAAUGAUAAAUUACACAGCACCAUUCUGUCACUGUUUCCCUCUUCUUUUUAGGCUUGGGGGCAUCCAAACUAAGCCCUUUUAUUAGCACCAAUCAGUGAGUGGGUUCUUGCUGAGAUUCUUGUACAUAAAUGUACUUUUUAAAAAAUAUACAGUAGGUCUGAUUAAUCUGUUAUGGCAGCUGGGUAAAGCUACUGACCUUUAGUUUAAAAAAAAUAGGAAAAUGUUUUUCCAGUUCAUGAAGUCAGUCAGUCACUUGGAAGUUAUUGUACUACCUUCAUUAUUGUAAGCAUAAUAUUUGUUCCCCAGUGAGCAAGAUACAGGCUACAAAUUCAGCCAAAGGAUGAGAACUACAUAAAUCAACUGGAGUAAUCAGGCCUGAGUUACUAUAACAAAUGUAUUGCUUAUCUCAUUGCGACGAAGUGGUAGAUACGUUAUCAAGACAAUUGCCAAGUGAGAAUAGCAUCCAAAAAUGGAUACUAGAUAUCAUCAUUCAUCAAACAAAUUAAAGUAUAUACAUAUAUUUUAAAUAUUAAAUGUUGUCUUUCCUACAAAAUGAGAGGUUGAGAGAAGGAUAUUUGAAAGGUAAUGAACAUGAAAACCUUUCUGAACAGUACUUUCUUUUUAUAAAAAAAACAUGUCAUUGUAUCUGUCAUAGGGCAUGAAUAAAUAUUAUGCAGAGUAACCUGAUGAAGAAUCCAUAUUGCAGUAUGAACAUAAUAUGAUAAUCUACGUCGUUUUUGUUAAAGCAGCUGAGUAGCUCUGAUCUACAGUUAUGUAACAUACUGCAAUUUAUGUCUUAUCUAUUCUCACUUCAGAUAACGGUAAAGAGUCCAAUGGCCAUGUUACCAGUUUGGUAACAAAUAUUCCUUGUAUUGUUUCUUGCCAUACUGUAGAUAUGAUAGAACGGUCUGCCCCUUAAAAGCAGUAAUACCUAGUGCUGAGUCCACCCUGCUUCAGAGCAUGUCCUGCUAAGGGUCCACUAGAUAGAUAGGUAGGUAGAUUGAUAGACCUAAGGAGGAUAGAGCUAGAGAGAAAUUGGCCCUGAGAAUACAUAGUGAUUGGAGAAGAGAUCUUGUUAUUGUUCCUUUAAUGACUCAGGGCCAGGAGCCUUGCAAAGCAGUUGGGGCAAGGUGUCCUUCUCACCUAGCCAGUGAAGAACUAAGGUGGGAGAAGGGGGCAGUAUAAAUGCUGCCUCCUCCCUCAAUAGUGCACAAAAGCCCUUGGAUGCUGUAGGGAGUAUAAGGAGGCUCCUGUAGGGCCCUGAGUUAACAGGGAGAAGGCACCAGCAGAAGAAUGUCUGGCUGCUGAGCCCUCACAGCCUGAAGAUAGAAGGACUGAUUUGGAAAAGGGCCAGCCGGGAAGAGAAGCUGCCGGAGACUCAACAGCUGGCCUAAAGUCUAAGUCCAGACCCAAGGAGGAGAGCUAGGAAGCUCCUGUAUUACAGAGAGGGACAAGGGGAUUGUCUGAAGUACACUCCAGCUCCAGGAGGAGGACUGAGGCCUCAUGAACAGUGGAGGAAGCUGACCAGGACUUCUAGGGUAUAUCUGCACUACAGUUAGACACACAUGGCUUG